rnacentral:misc_RNA from 1 species
ACCGGGAGAGGUUGUUGGUGGAGGUUGAUGUAGCAGCGAGCGUGUGUGUGUGUUUGUGUGGCGCGGCAGGUGUGAGGAGGAGAGGAGGACCUUGGUGGUGGUCCCCGGCGGCCCACGACCCUCGCCCGCGUCAUGGAGGAAGCCAGGUCACUGCUCUCAGACACACUGGAGGCCCCCAAGCCCCACUUCCCGCUGCGACUGGAGGAGUCCCCAGUCCCACAGCUCUUCCCCGACAGAGUAAAGUCGCCCCUCACGCUGGCCAUGGAUGGGACUCCUUCUCACCUUAACUCCGUCGCUGAAACUUUUAAGUCUCACUUCCCUCACUGCCCUGACGGCUCCAAGUCACUCUUGCUGCAGGGGCUGGAGGGCACCAUGGCCCUAUUGGCCGCCAGGGGCGUGGAGGGUACCAAAGCCAUGUACCCGCUGGGCAUGGACAAUCUCCGCCCCUUCCUUCCCUACGGCGGAGAGGGCGUCAACUACUUGCAGGAGAGGCUGGAUAAGUGUCAUAAGUCAUCUCGCGACAGGAAGGACUCGAGCAGAGCGGGCGCGGCCACGCCUGAGGGCGGGGACACAAAGAGGGUCGGGGAGCGUCCCAGGGAACACAAGAGCCACAAGAAGACCCCCAGCCCUAAGUCCCAGCUGUCCAACCCCCGCCAUGACGCCCACCUCGUCCACGCCAUCAGAGAGCUACAUGAGGAGGAGUUUGGCCUGGAUGCUGUGUUGCUGGCUGAGGGUGGUCACGUGGGCGCCCACUGUGCUGUCCUGGCUGCUGCCUCACCCUUCCUCAAGUCCCUCCUCCUUCACGCCAAUGAUCACCCCGCCAUCAUCUCCGUCACAGGUACAUCAUUGUCAACACUACAAGCACUGGUGGCGUGCUUGUACACAGGCAACAUUCCAGCUGGUGCAAGUGUGUAUCACUUGGCAGAGGCUGCAAAACUUCUCAAAAUGGAUGAACUGAGUGCCGUCCUACAGAAAACUUGUAUUGCUCAAGGUGGUGGUUCACUGUUGGAGCUGUCCCGACCCCAAUCAGCUUCACGGUCCACUAUCUAUGGCUCCCAGGGCCUGGCGCUGCCCUUGGAGCCACGUUUCGAGAGGUCGGGGAAGAGGAUCCGCAGCAACCGCUUAGACCAGAUUCUCUACCAGAAACUUAAUGUAAACCAUCUAGCGCCAGCUGAUAUUCCUGACCCCUGCCUAGUGCCUCCCCCAGAGUCCUCUCGAGUGCCUCUCUUAGAAUCCCUUAGAGUGCCUCCCCCAGACCCUCGUGGUGGAAUCUUAGGUGAGCUGCUGACUAAAGCUGACCCUCUUAGGACAGUGUUUUCCAGUGGCUACUCCAUUGCAGACUUGGGAUUUGAUUCUUCCUACUCUCACCUCAAGCCCCUCAACCUUUCCAAGCCCAGCAAGAGUCAUUCAUCUUCCACCCCAGAUAUGUCUUCUCACACCUCUUCUUAUACAUCUUCCACAAACUCCUCGACUUCCACCACAUCAUCUUGCAACAUACCAGCCUCCAGUCUGGCUUCCAAUCUGGCUUCCAGUCUGGCCUCUCAGACCGACUUGAACCUGAGUGGUCAUACGUCUUUAGCUCCUACGAUGCCAGGUGGUAUGACUGGUCUUCUGUCUCCACUGACGCCCUCCAAUUUGAUGUCGCCAUCUACUCUUGCCACUUUUACAUCAUCAUCUGCAUUAGCUUCUCUUGGGGCUCAACAUUCUUUAGCUUCCACCACUCCCUCCAAAAGCAAAAGUUCUAGUAAUGGUGGAAGCAGCAGAAGUCGUAGCAGCAACAAGUUUGGCAGCAGUGGGAGAAGUGGUAAUGGGAGUCGGCACAGUAGCAACAGCAACAACAGAAAUUCUAGUCAACAUAGCUUACCGUUGUUGUACACACUGAAGAGUGGUAUGAUGACCCCUGAAGUAGCCAAGGAAGUAUAUGAACAAUUAAAACUCAAUCCCCAGUUGGCAUCCCUCCCAGGAUUUGACAGUUUACACAAUCUAUCCAGUUUAAGCAGUUCUGCCAGUCUUCAGAGCCUUGCUAAUCUCCAUAACUUAUCGAGCCUGCAGAGUUUCCCAACACUGUUUCCGUUUCUAGCUCCCACUUCACCAGAGAGCCCGUUACUUGGGAACACAGGUGUUAAGGAUCUGCACAUGUCACCGGGCGCCCCCUCAAGUGACCCUAGUCUUACAACCACAGCAUCAUGCAUCGAGGCAGCAAAUGACGGGAACCCAAGUAUAGUAACUUGCGAGGAUCAGGUCGCUCUUAACCUGAGCAGCAAUGCAUUAACAACCCAAAGUGAGUCUCCCAAACCUACAAUACAAGAGGAAUCGUCUGGUUCUGCUCUUACCCCCAAUAACAGUGUAAAGUUUACCUCUAGUGAAUCAGGCAUAGUGGUGGAGGAAACUGAUGAAGUGACACAAAUGGUCCAGCCACCUUCCGCUAGUGAAAUGUCAACUAAUUUCCCUCCCUUAAUCUCACAAAACUCACCUGAGAGUGCAAUUGACAUAAGUCAAAAUGAAAACAUCUGCAAUAACCUCCCUAAUGGUAGCACAGCAUCCUCUAUGAGUCAUGCAAGCAGCAAUACCAUCAUCAGUAACAGCAUGGACAGCAGCAGCCUUCCUCUCUUACUCAUGGGCUCUGGAGCGAGCUUGGCAGGGAUGGCGCAGCAACAAGCAGAUCUGGCAGCAGUUGCAGAUUUGUCUUUAGAUUCUCACUGUGCAGCUCUACAGGAUCACAGCAUGGUGUCCCCAGACAUAACAGACAGUGCAGAAGACAAUGGCAUUGAGGUUAUCGAGGAGAUCCCCGGAGUGAACCGAAGUCAACUUCAUGCCCGUAAAACUCUUUACCAUGCCGGACACAUGGGACGGAAAAGGAAAGGAUGUGGAGAGUGUGAGGGUUGUCAGGUGGUCGAGGACUGUGGCCAGUGUAGGUUUUGUCGUGAUAAAGCCAAAUUUGGAGGACCCAACCGACUGAAGCAGGUGUGUGUGUACAAACGCUGUGUCCUUGCUGAGCUGGAGCCAGAAGACUCCAAGAAGAGGCGGAAGACAAGUGGGAAGAAAGGUCGUGGUAAGUGUGGAGGCUGUGAUGGCUGUCAGCGCACCAGUGACUGUAAUGAGUGCUAUGCCUGUCUCCACAAUGCAGCCGCCCAGCCUCCAGCACGCAGGAAGGUGUGUGAGAUGAGGGUGUGUGAGCAACAGCAAAUGGAGGAAGUGCGAGCUGCCCUCAGUGUUGCCGGGGAACCAUCGCCGUACUCGACUGACUCACUCAUGGCAGAGAGUAUGGGCAUCAGCUCUGGAGCAUCCAGUCCCACGCCAGAUGGCCAGCCUAGUACACACAAUGAUAAAAUGAAGUUGAUGAGAAAAAUGCUUAAGAAAAAAUUUGCCCAGCCUUACAGCCGGGUAAGCCCCUCCAAGGUACGAACAAAGUAUUACUGCGGUGAGUGCCCUGGCUGCCAGACCACAACACCGUGCGGUAACUGUCUCUACUGUGAGGACAUGCCCAAGUUUGGCGGUCCUGGGCGAUAUAGACAAAAGUGUGUAAAGCAGUUAUGUGUCUAUCAUCCUCGUCUUCAAGCACUUAAGCUCUCGAACCGCAGCAAGUUGACGUACGAUGAACAGCACAUCUCCCAUGAGACACUCUCCCAUUUAGGUGCGGCCAUCUCUUGUGCAUCUGAGGAAACAAUUGACUUAGGCUGUGCAGAUAGUAGAGAAAACCUGGAAGAGUUGGAGAGUCUAGAAGGAGCUGAACAUAUUGAUGAAACUGAUGAAAUAACUGAGGGAGAAGAUAGUAACGCCACUAUACAUCUAUGUCGAGCAGCACACGUUGAAAAUUCUAUUGAAGAAGUAGAACCAGUAAAAAUAGAAGCACAGAUAUUCAAAGUUGACAUGGCACCACUCCUUACUGUUGAUGUUACCCCUGAAACAGGCAGUGUCUUGCCUCCUGCCACUGACGUUGUUUCUACUACUACUGCCAGCACGUGUACUGCCAUCACAACAGCCACAAGUGCCAUUCCUACAUCCACUGCCACCCCAGCACCCCCACACACCCCUGAACCAGAACCUGAACCCAAACCUCAACCUGACCCUGAACCCAAACAUGAACCUCAACCUGAACCCAAACAUGAACCUCAACCUGAACUUGAACCUGAACACACACUCAUUCCCACACUUGAUCCUGUUCUUACACAUGUUCCCACUCCCACAGCAUCCCCCACACCACCACCACCAUCCCCCACACCCCCAGCACCAUCCCCUACACCCCCAACACCACCACCACCGCUGAGUCCUGACAUAGCAGACACACAAAAUGCUGAUGAUACUAAUGAUAUAGAAGGUGAAGAAGAUUUGGAUGAUGAAGUGGAUGACGAUGAGGAUGAGGAGGCAAUGUCCGAUGCAUCUGAUGUUCCGUCACCACCCUCUACCCCCUCUCCCCGUCCCCGCUUACGUGGAAGAGGACGUUAUCGCGGUCGAGGUCGUGGCCGUGGAAAAAAUGGUAAAAUAGGAGGUGUUAGUACAAAGAGAACAAAAAAGGUUCUUCGUCGAGGGCGUCGACGUAGGACCCCUCGUUUCAACUUAGAUCCUGAUGAUAAUUCUGAUUAUGAUGAGCAGUACUUGUUGACUGAGCUGGAGGGUGAGACUCCUAGCGAGGAACAUUUGGCUGAAGAUGAUGGAGAUUCUGCAGAUGUGGUUCACCAGGACUCACUAGUGAAAAUGACAAAGGAUUCUGUUGAUUACAAAGAUGAUUCAAAAAUGCUACAAGUUGACAAAGCAAAUACAGCAAGUGAUGAGAAUCAGGGGUAUUCCAAUACCCCAAAAACAGACAAGUUGAUACGUAUAUCACAGAAUAUUGAACCAGAUGUCUUUGAGUUUCAAGAUUCACAAGAAACUGUGAUCGAUAAUAAGAGUGAGACGACAAACUCAGUCAUGAUGAAACAUAAUGGUCCGUACGUGUUUCAGGAUGAGGAGCUGCGUCAGGGAGGAAGAGACGUCAAUGAAAAUGUAGGGACAGUCGGUGAAACUGCUUCCGCAUAGCACUUACUUGUGAAUUCUCUGAAGCACACCCAUAUUCCAGUACAACUUACCAGUGAAUAAACUUGCCAUGUGUGAGUGAUGGUAAAGCUACGUGUACAGUACAUACGUUAUAUAUAUGUUAUAUGUGCAUAGAAAUAAGUCUGUUUACGUUUCUGUUCACUUAUAGCGCUUUAUCUUGAGAAUGUUGAUGUUAUUAUGGCUUUUAAUUCAUUGGUUGUUGGUUUUCAGUUUUCAAUUGCUCAUUAACAGAAUAUUGCAUCAUGUAUUCUGAUUGAAGAUUAGUUCCUCUGAGUUGAAGGGAAGAUGACCGUGUAAUACAAUGAAAGUCAAAAUGGUAAGUUGCCGCACUUCUCUCGAGUCAAGACCCAUUAACUAGUACAUAGUGAAUGCUUCCUUAAGUUACAUUAUUCUGUUGUAAUAUUUCUGAACUAGUCAGGUCAGAGACCUUCAUUGAGUAGGGUAGAAAUUAUUGCAGCAGCCCCAGUGUGCCAUGGAGGAAACUGUGCUGAAGAAAGUGAUAUAGUACAGUAAUUAUGUUGAUAACUUUUGCAGAAAACUGAAGAAAAAAUUUGAGGGGUAAUGUUGAUAUAUGUAGAAGGGGCCACUCUUUAUUCAUACAUUUUUUUUUUCAAUGAUGCCUUGACUCUCGUAUGUGUCCAAAAAACUACAAAAAAUAGUGCCAUUUCUUUUUUUUUUCUUUUUUUCUUUUUUUGCUGCCUAGUUGGACAGAUAUAAUAUAUAAGGUGAACUUUAUAAUUCUGCAAAUAUUCCCUAACUCUUUAUUUUUUUUGGAAAAAGUACAAAGUGAUGUCUACUUGUGUAAGUGAUGAGCCACUAAUGCGAUGCUGACAGCUUUUACAGUCUGGUAGUGAUAGUGCCACCUGGCGCCAAGUGUUAGUGCCACAUGAAGCAGCCAAGUGUUUUUGUUAUUCGUUGAUUUACUGUUCUUGUUUGUUUACAUUAAACAUUAACUCUCUGGAGAGUUUAUGUGAUGAUGAUGAUGAUGAUGAUACAGUGCUACAUGUGUGAUGAUACAGUGCUACAUGUGUGAUGAUACAGUGCUACAUGUGUGAUGAUACAGUGCUAUGUGUGUGAUGAUACAGUGCUACAUGUGUGAUAAGCUAUCAAAUUAACUGUUCACAGACAGAGUUAUGUCACUUGAGAAUCUAAUGAAUAUAUUUUAUGUUUCCUGAAGCAGUGAUGAUGUUAUGCGAGUACUUUGCUUUUAAGUUUGUUAAAUAAAAUUAGCCACUCCACCAAGAGCUUGUGACUGUACAUACACUCACCAGGAUAUUCCUUGCUACCACAGUUUCAGCAUCUGCGUGUUUGCUUAAAGGCAGUAUAAUAUUAUAUAAUAUUACUGUAUUUUGUUAUAAAAGCUACAAAUGCUCCAUGUUUGGUGUUCCUAUAUUGUUCUUAGUUACUAGUAUGUAGAGUUAUAUUGAAAAUAGAGUUUUGCCAUAUAUAGUACCUAGAUAUAUUUACAUAGGAACUUGUGACCAUUAUGAAGGAUUAUAAUAUAAAAGCUACAAUCUUUUGUCUUCAUCUACUUGUAGAAAAUACUGUUUAUGUUACUGUAAUAUGUUGGUUGUUCCUGCACUUUAUUCAAGAUAUUUUUGUUUGAUUUUUUUAAUUUUUGCAAAGACAAAAAUGAAGAAAAUUACCAUAUUGUUGAAGGAAAACUAGAAAUGUUUGUUAGCUGCAAGUCUUAUGUUAACUGCACAACAGUCUAGGCAAGUCAUGGCACGAUGCAUAUUAUUAUCAUGGAGUUACUAGUCGAUAUUUUUGCUCGAAUGUGCUCUAUAGAUGCUUGACAUUCUGUUCUUCACUCUCUUGCAGUUACCACAUUCUAACAGACAUAAGUAUACGAGUCUUCAUUACUGACGGGGUCUUCUGAAGUGUUAUAUUCUGGACAAGAGUUUUUGUUUGAAAGGACAGUUAACUGCUAUAUUUCUUCCAAAACUUUUAUCUGUAAUAUUGAGGCGCCAGUGAGUCAGAAGGCACAGAAAUAAAGCAUAUUCAGUUAUAUAUUAUCAUGUUAAUAUCUCCAUCUGCUUGCAGCAUACCCUAAUGAUGAAUAUAUUUGCUCAUUCAUAUAGAAGGCAGGGGUAAAAUUUUUUUAGUCAUGUGAAAUACCUGUAUGUAAUGGUGUUAUUAGCAGCUGACUGAUGAUUUGUCUAGGUCUGUUACACAACGUGAAAGACUCAUAUCACUGGUGAACAUGGAGUGAGUUAAUAGGGAUAUUUUUUCCGUUCAGUGCUUUAAAGAUGUCUUUGUGAGCAUUCAUCGACCAUGUUCCAUUCUCAAAUACACGGGGCGGGUCAGAUCUCAUGAGAAGUUAAAAGCCUUUAUGUUUUACGAAGGCAUAAUACUGGAUCCCAUUAACUUGUGUGCACAUGCUGUGAUUUCAUCGUAGUUCUUGUUGAUCACAAAUGUUUGCCAAAAUUUAAGACUAAUGCUGAAUUUUAUCUGUGGAAAAGAUAUUAAUGUUGUAAGCACAGUACUGUACUGUACAAGCUGAGCGGACACAAUUUAUUUAAAUGGAAAGUUUGAACAAUGUUAUGUUCAUGACAUAUUUUUGACAUUACAGUAUACUCCCUAUGUAUUACAUAGGGACUUGAUGACACCUGUUUCAUUUUCUUUGAGAGAAUUUUCACAUUUUCUUUCGUUUUCUACUGCCAUGCUGCUGUUUGUGUUGCACUGGUUGUAGUAGUUGCUAUCUGCCAAUGUGUUUCAUAUACUGUACCAGUUCCUCGACUGAGGUUGCUAAAGUCCUCCGUUCUAGAGCACCAGAUGGUGUGCCUAUUCUCUUGCACAUAUCAUGCCCUUGGUGGCAUAUACAGGGUAUUUAAUUCCUCUUGUAAUUUAAAUAAAUCAGAAGUUGUCAUAGAUCAUUUAUAUAUACAGGUACUCUUGAAAUACAAAUUAUUUUUAUUGUGCUUGGUCAGAGUAUUCAUAAAAGUAGUCUAAAUGAUAUUAUACAUGAAUAGAAAUAAAUUUUUAAAAGUUCAAUAGUGACUAUAAGUGCAGAAUUGUACUGCUUAUUUAUGAUUUAAUAAAGUGAUAAAAUGUAGACAAAUAAUGUUAUUAGCUCUUCUUACCAAGCAUAUUUGAUCAUUAUUGUAUCCAGUUCAAUAGUACGAAACAAAACUAAAUGGCUUAAAAAUAUCCAGUUAAGAAUUAUCCGUUUUGCUGUAGGAAACAAAACCAUUUUUUUUUUACAUUCAAUAAUAAAACCAGGGUACUUCAAUGUGCAUUUAUGUUGAGAAAAAAUCGUAGUGUGUGUGCUAAACUAAAUCUUCAAUAAUGUGAGGUAUUAUGGUAACAUUAGGGUUGAUAGUCAGACAACUGUUGGUUGAAAUGUUCAGUUAAACCACUGUAUGGAUUGGUUGUUUUACACCCAAUCAUGUCAUGAAACAGUAACUAAAAGUUAGCGGACCUGCCAGGGACCUAGGAAGCACCCUGGACCUGCACAGGGACCUACAGUAGGUGGCACCCUGUACCUGCACAGGGACCUAGGUGGCACCUUGGACCCAUUAAGGAGCUAGGUGGCACCCUUGUACCCAUGGCCUUGAUAUACUAAACAGCCAUAACUCAUCUGUUGUGGAUCAUCAUCUUGACAACCCUGAACAAAUUAAAGACUUUCACCUUAACAUAAACAUUGCUACACAACUCUAGCUUUCUCUUGUCCUCCUUAUUUUAUCUAGUAUGAAUUUAGCCAAGAGCUUUACUUUUUUUAUUAUACUUUCCUCUUGGUUAAUAUGUUAAUACAAGUCCCUCAGAGUCAUUUACAGAAGGAUUAUUGAUGAUAUUGUUAUUCUAAUAUAAUGAACUUCUGUCAACUGAUGAUAGUUUCAGUUUGUUCUCCACAUAAUCUCUGGAUAUGAGUACCAGCCAUACAAGUAAUGUUGAGUGAUUUAAUGUGUAUAGACACCCCACAUGAACUUGAAAUGUUGUGAAAAUUUUGGGAUGACUUUUGACAAGAUAAGGUUCUGUCCCUGCCUCCGAGCUGUGAGACUCCAAGCCUUUCUGUACCACACACAACGUUGCCAAACUUGCCGCACAGUGUUCAGUGUAAGUCUCAAUAAAGCAUAUGCAAAUAC